GCUGGGAUAGCUCAGUGGUAGAGCGUCCGGCUCUCGGACCGGAUGGACGCAGGUUCGAGCCCUGCUCCCAGCU
rnacentral:tRNA from 1 species